rnacentral:rRNA from 1 species
ACGGGAGGCAGCAGUAGGGAAUCUUGCGCAAUGGGCGAAAGCCUGACGCAGCGACGCCGCGUGCGGGAAGAAGGCCUUCGGGUUGUAAACCGCUUUCAGGAGGGACGAAGCCACUCGGGUGAACAGCCCAGAGGGUGACGGUACCUCCAGAAGAAGCCCCGGCUAACUACGUGCCAGCAGCCGCGGUAAUACGUAGGGGGCAAGCGUUGUCCGGAUUCAUUGGGCGUAAAGAGCGUGUAGGCGGCCAGGUAGGUCAGCUGUGAAAACUGGAGGCUCAACCUUCAGACGUCGGCUGAAACCAUCUGGCUAGAGUCCGGGAGAGGAGAGUGGAAUUCCUGGUGUAGCGGUGAAAUGCGCAGAUAUCAGGAAGAACACCCGUGGCGAAAGCGGCUCUCUGGAACGGUACUGACGCUGAGACGCGAAAGCGUGGGGAGCGAACAGGAUUAGAUACCCUGGUA